UGGGGAAUUUUGGACAAUGGGCGAAAGCCUGAUCCAGCAAUGCCGCGUGUGUGAAGAAGGCCUUCGGGUUGUAAAGCACUUUUGUCCGGAAAGAAAUCCUCUGGGUUAAUACCUCGGGGGGAUACGGUACCGGAAGAAUAAGCACCGGCUAACUACGUGCCAGCAGCCGCGGUAAUACGUAGGGUGCAAGCGUUAAUCGGAAUUACUGGGCGUAAAGCGUGCGCAGGCGGUUUUGUAAGACGGAUGUGAAAUCCCCGGGCUUAACCUGGGAACUGCAUUCGUGACUGCAAGGCUAGAGNAUGGCAGAGGGGGGUAGAAUUCCACGUGUACAGUGAAAUGCGUAGAGAUGGUGGAGGAAUACCGAUGGCGAAGGCAGCCCCCUGGGCCAAUACUGACGCUCAUGCACGAAAGGUGGGGAGCAAACAGGAUUAGAU
rnacentral:rRNA from 1 species